rnacentral:rRNA from 1 species
UGGGGAAUAUUGGACAAUGGGCGCAAGCCUGAUCCAGCCAUGCCGCGUGAGUGAUGAAGGCCCUAGGGUUGUAAAGCUCUUUCACCGGUGAAGAUAAUGACGGUAACCGGAGAAGAAGCCCCGGCUAACUUCGUGCCAGCAGCCGCGGUAAUACGAAGGGGGCUAGCGUUGUUCGGAUUUACUGGGCGUAAAGCGCACGUAGGCGGACUUUUAAGUCAGGGGUGAAAUCCCGGGGCCCAACCCCGGAACUGCCUUUGAUACUGGAAGUCUUGAGUAUGGUUGAGGUAAGUGGAAUUCCGAGUGUAGAGGUGAAAUUCGUAGAUAUUCGGAGGAACACCAGUGGCGAAGGCGGCUCACUGGACCAUUACUGACGCUGAGGUGCGAAAGCGUGGGGAGCAAACAGG